rnacentral:rRNA from 1 species
GUGAGGAAUUUUCCGCAAUGGGCGAAAGCCUGACGGAGCAAUGCCGCGUGAAGGAUGAAGGCCUAUGGGUUGUAAACUUCUUUUCUCAGAAAAGAAUUAUGACGGUAUCUGAGGAAUAAGCAUCGGCUAACUCUGUGCCAGCAGCCGCGGUAAGACAGAGGAUGCAAGCGUUAUCCGGACUGAUUGGGCGUAAAGCGUCUGUAGGUUGUUUAAAAAGUAUUCUGUCAAAGAUUAGGGCUUAACCCUAGAUAGGCAGAAUAAACUUUUAAGCUAGAGUUUGGUAGAGGCAGAGGGAAUUCCCGGUGGAGCGGUGAAAUGCGUAGAUAUCGGGAGGAACACCAAAGGCGAAGGCACUCUGCUGGGCCAAUACUAACACUGAGAGACGAAAGCGAGGGGAGCAAAUGGGAUUAGAAACCCCUGUAGUCC